rnacentral:rRNA from 1 species
UCGAACGCUUUUUCUUUCACCGGAGCUUGCUCCAUCGAAAGAAAAAGAGUGGCGAACGGGUGAGUAACACGUGGGUAACCUGCCCAUCAGAAGGGGAUAACACUUGGAAACAGGUGCUAAUACCGUAUAACACUAUUUUCCGCAUGGAAGAAAGUUGAAAGGCGCUUUUGCGUCACUGAUGGAUGGACCCGCGGUGCAUUAGCUAGUUGGUGAGGUAACGGCUCACCAAGGCAACGAUGCAUAGCCGACCUGAGAGGGUGAUCGGCCACACUGGGACUGAGACACGGCCCAGACUCCUACGGGAGGCAGCAGUAGGGAAUCUUCGGCAAUGGACGAAAGUCUGACCGAGCAACGCCGCGUGAGUGAAGAAGGUUUUCGGAUCGUAAAACUCUGUUGUUAGAGAAGAACAAGGAUGAGAGUAAAAUGUUCAUCCCUUGACGGUAUCUAACCAGAAAGCCACGGCUAACUACGUGCCAGCAGCCGCGGUAAUACGUAGGUGGCAAGCGUUGUCCGGAUUUAUUGGGCGUAAAGCGAGCGCAGGCGGUUUCUUAAGUCUGAUGUGAAAGCCCCCGGCUCAACCGGGGAGGGUCAUUGGAAACUGGGAGACUUGAGUGCAGAAGAGGAGAGUGGAAUUCCAUGUGUAGCGGUGAAAUGCGUAGAUAUAUGGAGGAACACCAGUGGCGAAGGCGGCUCUCUGGUCUGUAACUGACGCUGAGGCUCGAAAGCGUGGGGAGCGAACAGGAUUAGAUACCCUGGUAGUCCACGCCGUAAACGAUGAGUGCUAAGUG